rnacentral:rRNA from 1 species
CACGCCAGUGGCAUUGCCGGGUAGAUAAAUACGGAAGAGAUAAACGCUGAAAGCAUCUAAGCGUGAAACUUGCCUUAAGAUAAGAUUUCCCUGAGGACUUGAUCCUCCUGAAGGGCCGUUGAAGACCACGACGUUGAUAGGCUGGGUGUGGAAGUGCAGUAAUGCAUUAAGCUAACCAGUACUAAUUGCCCGUGCGGCUUGGCUCU